UACGUAGGGUGCGAGCGUUAAUCGGAAUUACUGGGCGUAAAGCGUGCGCAGGCGGUUUUGUAAGCCAGAUGUGAAAUCCCCGGGCUCAACCUGGGAAUGGCAUUUGGGACUGCAAGGCUGGAGUGCGGCAGAGGAGACUGGAAUUCCUGGUGUAGCAGUGAAAUGCGUAGAUAUCAGGAGGAAUACCGAUGGCGAAGGCAGGUCUCUGGGCUGACACUGACGCUCAUGCACGAAAGCGUGGGGAGCAAACAAGGAUUAGAGUAC
rnacentral:rRNA from 1 species